rnacentral:rRNA from 1 species
UACAGAGGUGGCAAGCGUUGUUCGGAAUUAUUGGGCGUAAAGGGCGCGUAGGCGGCUAGAUGUGUCAAAGGUGAAAUCCCUCGGCUCAACUGAGGAACUGCCUUUGAAACUGUCUGGCUUGAGGCCGGGAGAGGGUAGCGGAAUUCCCAGUGUAGCGGUGAAAUGCGUAGAUAUUGGGAGGAACACCAGUGGCGAAGGCGGCUACCUGGACCGGUUCUGACGCUGAGGCGCGAAAGCGUGGGUAGCAAACAGG